UUUGUUAGGUUAGCAUUACAAUGGGUAAAUUCAAAUUUAAAUGUUAACGAUACGAUCCGUUUUUUGUGCAAGUAAAGCCAUAAAGGAUGUCUGUUUGUUGCCAUAGUUGACCGUUGUACAGCUAAUUGCUAUUCUUUUUUGUAAGGAUAGCAUUAGAAAGUUGACAAAGAAGCGAAAAAUGUUUGACUUCCACGUUGAAGCACAUUUUGUACACCGACAGUUCCACGAAAAGCUGGGAAACAGCAUUUGAAGAAGAAGCUGUUUAUUUUAAAGGCUGGCUGAACUCGGGCACAUGGAGUGAGUGUGAGGAUCUGUCCAACUUUGACAACAUUGCAAAUGAGUUUUAAUAAUCCCUGUGACUGAACCCAGAGCAGAGCAGUGCAGGAGGAAAGGAGUCUCCUCCUCAAGGGUUGCAGUGCAGCAGGAUUGGCUGGAAAGCUGAGAAGGGUUGCUGUGAAGGACAAGUAGGAAGCAUCAAAACAAGAUAUGCUGUCAUGCAUUUGCUGCAGUCUUACCUUUCCACACUCAUCAAAUUCGCUAAAGAUCUCUGAAUCGUCAUCCAGGCUGUCUCCAGAGCUCUCAAGCAGCAGUCCUACCCCAUCGUCCAGAAUCUCCUCUGCAUCGAAACAAAAACACAAGCGCUUUUUGUUUCCUGCUUCUUGAUCUCAGCACGCAGCAGCCUAACGGUGUCUUCUCUGUGAUGCUGCCGAGCGACGGCGGUGGCGCAUGCUGAGUGGAUGGCUGU